CCUCCUUUCUAAGGAUGAAUGAAAGUAAAAUUUCAUUCUAAAUAAUAUACAUCGGUAAUGUUGACCGUCCUCAUUUCUCUUCUUAAAGUAAUGUUUCCUUCUUGUAGGGCCGGUAGCUCAGUUGGUUAGAGCACACCCUUGAUAAGGGUGGGGUCGAAAGUUCGAGUCUUUCUCGGCCCACCAUACUUAACUGGGGGAUUAGCUCAGCUGGGAGAGCGCCUGAUUUGCAUUCAGGAGGUCAGCGGUUCGAUCCCGCUAUCCUCCACCAGGAAACAUUUAGUUAUUAAAACUGUAAAUAAAAAUAAUUAUAUCAAUAUCUAUAUCCGAACAUUAAAUGUUAUUAUUUAAUGUUCAAAAAUAAAAAUUUGAUCACAACACAGAUCUAAUUUCUUUAAAAAGAAUNUUUUUCUGUGCAUAAAUCAAGCGUUAAGGGCGUGUAGUGAAUGCCUGGGCACUGAAAGCCCGAUGAAGGACGUGAUAUACUGCGAUAAGUUUCCGGGGGAA
rnacentral:tRNA from 1 species